rnacentral:rRNA from 1 species
UACGUAGGGGGCUAGCGUUGUCCGGAAUCAUUGGGCGUAAAGAGCGUGUAGGCGGCUCAGUAAGUCCGCUGUGAAAGUCCAGGGCUCAACCCUGGAAUGCCAGUGGAAACUGUUGAGCUAGAGUCCGGAAGAGGCGAGUGGAAUUCCUGGUGUAGCGGUGAAAUGCGCAGAUAUCAGGAGGAACACCAAUGGCGAAGGCAGCUCGCUGGGACGGUACUGACGCUGAGACGCGAAAGCGUGGGGAGCAACCAGG